rnacentral:rRNA from 1 species
GAUGAACGCUAGCGGCAGGCUUAAUACAUGCAAGUCGAGGGGCAGCACGGUAGCAAUACUGGUGGCGACCGGCGCACGGGUGCGUAACGCGUAUGCAACUUACCCUUUACAGGGGGAUAGCCCGGAGAAAUUCGGAUUAAUACCCCAUAGAAUAUUUAGGAGGCAUCUUUUAGAUAUUAAAGAUUUAUUGGUAAAGGAUGGGCAUGCGUGCCAUUAGCUAGUUGGUGAGGUAACGGCUCACCAAGGCGACGAUGGCUAGGGGUUCUGAGAGGAUAUACCCCCACACUGGUACUGAGACACGGACCAGACUCCUACGGGAGGCAGCAGUAAGGAAUAUUGGACAAUGGUGGAGACACUGAUCCAGCCAUGCCGCGUGCAGGAUGACGGUCCUAUGGAUUGUAAACUGCUUUUGUAUGGGAAUAAACCCCGGUACGUGUACCGGGUUGAAUGUACCAUAAGAAUAAGGAUCGGCUAACUCCGUGCCAGCAGCCGCGGUAAUACGGAGGAUCCAAGCGUUAUCCGGAUUUAUUGGGUUUAAAGGGUGCGUAGGCGGGACGAUAAGUCAGUGGUGAAAUCCCAUAGCUUAACUAUGGAAUUGCCAUUGAUACUGUCGACCUUGAGUACAAACGAUGUGGGCGGAAUGUGUAGUGUAGCGGUGAAAUGCUUAGAUAUUACACAGAACACCGAUAGCGAAGGCAGCUCACAAGAAUGUAACUGACGCUGAUGCACGAAAGUGUGGGGAUCAAACAGGAUUAGAUACCCUGGUAGUCCACACCGUAAACGUUGAUAACUCGAUGUGUGCGAUACACAGUACGCGUCUAAGGGAAACCGAUAAGUUAUCCACCUGGGGAGUACGUUCGCAAGGAUGAAACUCAAAGGAAUUGACGGGGGCCCGCACAAGCGGAGGAGCAUGUGGUUUAAUUCGAUGAUACGCGAGGAACCUUACCUGGGCUUGAAAGUUAGCGACUGAGUCUGAAAGGAUUCAUCCAGCAAUGGCGCGAAACUAGGUGCUGCAUGGCUGUCGUCAGCUCGUGCCGUGAGGUGUUGGGUUAAGUCCCGCAACGAGCGCAACCCCUACUUCUAGUUGCCAGCAUGUAAUGAUGGGGACUCUAGAGGAACUGCCCGCGCAAGCGGUGAGGAAGGUGGGGAUGACGUCAAGUCAGCACGGCCCUUACGUCCAGGGCUACACACGUGCUACAAUGGAUACUACAAAGGGCAGCUACACAGUGAUGUGAUGCGAAUCUCUAAAGGUAUUCUCAGUUCGGAUUGGAGUCUGCAACUCGACUCCAUGAAGCUGGAUUCGCUAGUAAUCGUAGAUCAGCAAUGCUACGGUGAAUACGUUCCCGGGCCUUGUACACACCGCCCGUCAAACAAUGGAAGUUGGGGGUACCUAAAGUCGAUCACCGCAAGGAGUCGCCUAGGGUAAAACUGAUAACUGGUGUUAAGUCGUAACAAGGUAACC